CAAGGACACUGAGACACGGGUCCUACUCCUACGGGAGGCAGCAGUGCGGAAUAUUGGACAAUGGGCGAAAGCCUGAUCCAGCGACGCCGCGUGCGGGACGAAGGCCUUCGGGUCGUAAACCGCUGUGGUAAGGGACGAAUAGCCGGUGGAGUGGAAAGCCACCGGAGGAGACGGUACCUUACUAGGAAGCCCCGGCUAACUACGUGCCAGCAGCCGCGGUAAUACGUAGGGGGCGAGCGUUACCCGGAAUCACUGGGCGUAAAGGGAGCGUAGGCGGCCCAGCAAGUCGACUGUGAAAAACCGGAGCUCAACUUCGGUCCUGCGGUCGAAACUGCUGGGCUUGAGGACAGUAGAGGGAGACGGAACUGCCGGUGUAGGGGUAAAAUCCUUAGAUAUCGGCAGGAACGCCGGUGGCGAAGGCGGUCUCCUGGGCUGGACCUGACGCUGAGGCUCGAAAGCCAGGGGAGCGAACGGGAUUAGAUACCCCGGUAGUCCUGGCCCUAAACGAUGUU
rnacentral:rRNA from 1 species